rnacentral:lncRNA from 1 species
CACCAGCGUGUGGUGUGCCUCAGUAGAGGUGUAGAGAUUUUAGUUAUCAUGUUGCCAGUGGAGAGGAGAAGAUCAUCUCCCGCUGGUUCAAACCACUUGUUCACAUCACCGGCACAUCCAAACUAAUCCAAACGAACGAAACGAUCAGUUGCAUAACGAGAGCGCCUCGGAUGAAGAAAUUGAUUGCUAUCACUUGUGCGUAUAGCACAUCUGCAAAUAUAUGUAUCGUCAUCGGCGUAUACAUAUGGUCGCAAGAAACACGAAUUCAGCAGCCGGAGAAAAGAAACGAACAUGCAUGUUGAAAAACGACGGCGCCUCAGAUUGGGAAAUUGAUUGCUAUCACUUGUGCGUAGCACAUAUGCAAACAUA